rnacentral:rRNA from 1 species
GACGAACGCUGGCGGCGCGCUUAACACAUGCAAGUCGAACGGAAAGGCCUGCUUUCCCUUGUGGAUUGCGGGUACUCGAGUGGCGAACGGGUGAGUAACACGUGAGUGAUCUGCCCCCAACUUGGGUAUAAGCCUGGGAAACUGGGUCUAAUUCCCGAUAGGACUGCAGGGUGGUGCCUGUGGUGGAAAACGAUUUUCUAGUGGUUGGGGAUGAGCUCGCGGCCUAUCAGCUUGUUGGUGGGGUAAUGGCCUACCAAGGCGGCGACGGGUAGCCGGCCUGAGAGGGUGGACGGCCACAUUGGGACUGAGAUACGGCCCAGACUCCUACGGGAGGCAGCAGUGGGGAAUAUUGCACAAUGGGCGGAAGCCUGAUGCAGCGACGCCGCGUGGGGGAUGACGGCCUUCGGGUUGUAAACUCCUUUCGACCGCGAGGAAGCCACCUGGUUGGAAGGGUGGUGACGGUAGUGGUAGAAGAAGCACCGGCUAACCACGUG